CCUUCCUUCCUUCCUUCCUUCCUUCCUUCCUUCGUCCAAACGGCCUGCUGCUCAGACGGACCCGAAUCAGCUCCGGUAUUAACGCACAACGACGCCGAGGUUUCCGGAGCAAGCUUUUCUUUACCUCUCAUCUUCGAGCAUCAAAUGCUGCUUCACUCUGCACCAAGCAGCGUUUCAAAGGAAGAAACACCAGCAAAAAACAGCAGGACUUGAUUUCAACAAGAAAACAAACUUACUAAAUAAGUUUAAAUAAAAGUGAGCAACUUCCAGCUUUGUCCAGACAAAAAUCCAUAAAACGAAGCAAAAUGCUGCCAUUCAAUGU